rnacentral:rRNA from 1 species
GACGAACGCUGGCGGCGUGCUUAACACAUGCAAGUCGAGCGGAGCGGCGAACGGGUGAGUAAAGCGUGAGUAAAUGCCCCCCUCUCUGCGAUAACAGUUGGCAACGGCUGCUAAUACCGGAUAGUGGGGGAUGACUCGCGUCCUAUCAGCUUGUUGGUGGGGUAGUGGCCUACCACGGCGACGACGGGUAGCCGUCCUGAGAGGGCGACCGGCCACAUUGGGCGAAGAUACGGCCCAAACUCCUACGGGAGGCAGCAGUGGGGAAUAUUGCAGAAUGGGGGAAAGCCUGAUGCAGCAACGCCGCGUGCGGGAUGACGGCCUUCGGGUUGUAAACCGCGUUCAGCCAUGACGCGGGAGUGGCAGAAGAAGCACCGGCUAACUACGUGCCAGCAGCCGCGGUAAUUC